ensembl:lncRNA
CACUGUUCUCUCUGCGCUAGGAGCUCCUCCAGGAGAAAAGUAUUUAAGCCUAACAUAUUGUUGGUUUUGUGACAAUGGUCAUGGCACAUUAUUUAUUGUCAUUUGCGCGUCUGCCUCUCCUGGAGAAUCCACAGGAGCUGGUAGCCUGGCUGUCUCCCUCUUUCCAGCAGAUGCUACCUCUUGAAGUGCUGGGAACCUCUUGGCGCCUGCCAGGAACUCCUCGCCAUUUAAAUAUUUAUUUAUUGUUGACCACGGGAGCUGGUUUCCUAAAUGUGAAUGAUGUACUUAUUCAACCCCCAUUUUCCUAUUGCAGCAUGUUAUUUUAUUGUGAAAUAAAAAUAAAACCCAAACACGAGAUUGAUCCUGUCUGCAAGGGCCGUAUGGUCAGGGGAAGAGGGAAGGGAAGUGCUCAGGGCGGGGGGUGCCUUGUGGGAGAGCUGGUCUCCAGAAAUGUCACAGGACACACGGGGAAGCUUGCCGGUAUGUGGGCAGAGGUGCACAUCCAAGGCCCGAGUUUGCCUGGUGACUGGUUCUAACAGUGGCCUCCAGGAUGGUAACUUCCUUCAGCUGGUGACGGCCCAGCUUGUUGGGGGCUGGCGUGAGGCACUCCGCCCGUGGCAAAGGUCAUGAGGAAGGAGGCUCGACAUACGCAAAGGCGGGAUCGGGCCUCAGGAGUCCCCUGGAAAUCCUCGAGCAUCUACCCGAUAACCAGAGCCUGCCUACUUUACUACUUUGUGCUCUCACCUACACCUCUGACUUUACCACCUCUUUCUGAGAAGGAAUUAACUCAGAGCUCCAGUUAAUAAUAAUUCCUGGGCAUGACAGGAGUGUUUCAACUUACAAACUCUUCUAAAGUUUCUCUAGCCUGCCUGACAGGCUUGUCCGGCCACAUGUGAUUGCUCACAGCCUCCCAACCGUGAGAGGCACGAGAUGCUUUAAACCUUCUAAAAACAGGUUCUUUAGAGAAGUUAGAAAAUUAUUAGUAUAAGUAUAGUGGGCUGAUUAGAAAUUGUAUUGGUGAAGGGUUUUUCAUUUGUUGAGCCAAUGUUUGUUGCUAAGUCUCCACAUCCACUGCCCUUAUACACAUUAAUGAAUGUAUAGAAGAAAUAAGUAUUAACCUUUGAUAUUAAUCACGUUGGACCUUAGGCUAAGUAAAUUCUUUCCUUAAUUAAAACCCACUACACCCUCACCCUAUAAGAAUGUAACUUUAUCUGGUACCUUCGGAAGGUGGAGUCUGUUUUAAGAAUAAUCACUCCUGGAGGAAUAACUGUUGACUAACCGCUGUCACAAGGAGAGGGUCAUAAAUUGUCAGCAGGCCCCCCUGGCCAGAAGAUGAAGUAACACCCCUAAGACCUCUGUAUACAUUUGUAUGAAGCACCUGACUUUAAUAAAAGUCAGGACUGCCGUCCUCACGUGACUUUUGUAUAACAUCUCAGUGUAUAAAAACACUCUGGAAAAUAAAGAAUUGGGAUCAGUUCCUUGAAAGACUGGUCUCCCCAUGUUGCUCUCUCUCUCAAACUCUGGUUGAGUCUCCAUCUGGAGUGCAGAGCCUGCCAUGCUUACUAAUUAUGCUUGGGCUUCUAAGAUCCGAC